AAACAUGUCUCUUUGAAUUAUUUUUAUAAAGAGUCAGGCCUGCCCAGUGAAGUUUAUUUUAACGGCCGCGGUACUCUGACCGUGCAAAGGUAGCAUAAUCAUUUGUCUUAUAAUUGAAGACUAGUAUGAAUGGUUUAACGAGAGCAACACUGUCUCUUUUUUAUUUUCAAGAACUUAACCUUUAAGUGAAGAGGCUUAAAUUUUAUUGAAGGACAAGAAGACCCUGUCGAGCUUAAAAGACAUUGUAGAAGUUCGUAUAUAUUUAGAUAAAUUUCCUAUUAGGCUUUUUAGUUGGGGCGACUAAGGAACAAAAAAAGCUUCUUAAAUAGAUAAAACAUUCAAGUUUUGAUCCGGCAGAUAGCCGAUCUAUGAAAUUAGUUACCGCAGGGAUAACAGCAUAAUCUCUCUCGAGAGAUCUAAUCGAAAGAGGGGGUUGUGACCUCGAUGUUGGACUAGAAUAUCCUAAAGAUGCAGAAGUCUUUAAAGGUUGGUCUGUUCGACCAUUAAAAUUCUACGUGAUC
rnacentral:rRNA from 1 species